AUUGAACGCUGGCGGCAUGCUUUACACAUGCAAGUCGAGCGAGUGGCGAACGGGUGAGUAACGUAUCGGACUGUGCCCGGUAGUGGGGGAUAACUGUCCGAAAGGACGGCUAAUACCGCAUAUUAUUCGAGCGACCGAUGUGUGAUUAGCUAGUAGGAGGGGUAAAGGCCCACAAAGGCGACGAUCAGUAGCGGGUCUGAGAGGAUGAUCCGCCACACGGGGACUGAGACACGGCCCAGACUCCUACGGGAGGCAGCAGUGGGGAAUGUUGGACAAUGGGCGCAAGCCUGAUCCAGCCAUGCCGCGUGUCUGAAGAAGGCCUUCGGGUUGUAAAGGACUUUUGUCAGGGAAGCGUUACCUGAAGAAUAAGCACCGGCUAACUACGUGCCAGCAGCCGCGGUAAUUC
rnacentral:rRNA from 1 species